CCUAUACGCACUUACUGCGGCUUGCAAGUCAGACGUCAAACAACUUUGACACAAGGGCGAAUCGCGUAGUUGUGAUAAAUAGUUUCCUCAAGAAUCAUCCAACUGGGCAGUUGUUUGUUUUGUAACAUAACCUCAAAAUGUAUUAAAGCAAAAUGAAAAUCGAAAUUCUUGUGGUUUUAUGCGUGAUCUGUGUGUAUGUGAGUGCUAAAGACUUCGUGGUUGGUACAAGAACUAACAAUUUGCUAAUAUCCACAGAAAAGGUCAUAGUAAAAGGCUAUCCGUUUAUAAAGAGAGAUAAGGACUACAUUUAUACCGACUCGAAGCAAAAGAGUUAUCAAGGGAAUAAUAGCGAGGGACCUAUCACGCACAGAUGGCGAGGUGUCGGUGAAGAGCGGCGGCGUGGGCGCCUCUAACGUGACGCUGCACUUGCAGAGCGAGAGGGGAGAGGGGCUGAAUUACCUCAUACUUAUAUUUAGUGAUAAUAAGUGAUGUAAUUUGACGCGAAUAUUCAUUCACGCCUUGUUUGAUGCUCUUCGUGUUUAUCUAAAAUUUUUAUUUUAAAUAAAUGUUAAUGUAAUUAUC
rnacentral:misc_RNA from 1 species